rnacentral:rRNA from 1 species
CCAGCUCCAAUAGCGUAUAUUAAAGUUGUUGCAGUUAAAUAGCUCGUAGUUGAAUUUUGGGCGGGGCCGGCGGUCGCGGCGUUUGUCGUGUACUGUUGGUUCUGUCUUUCCUUCUGGGGAACGUGUGUGCACUUUACUGUGUGUGCGCGGGAUCCAGGACUUUUACUUUGAAAAAAUUAGAGUGUUUAAAGCGGGCGAUUGCUUGAAUACAUUAGCAUGGAAUAAUAGAAUAGGACUUUGGUUCUAUUUUGUUGGUUUCUAGGACCGAAGUAAUGAUUAAUAGGGAUAGUUGGGGGCAUUAGUAUUUAAUUGUCAGAGGUGAAAUUCUUGGAUUUAUGAAAGACUAACUUCUGCGAAAGCAUUUGCCAAGGAUGUUUUCA